rnacentral:lncRNA from 1 species
CGGCGGCCUGUUCAGUCAGGAAUCACUAGGCGUGGCAGUGCCACCCUGCUGCUGUGUUGCGUCCCAAUGCAAUUUUAGUCUGUGCGUCUCGACCGACCCCUCCUUUAGACGUCCAGGCACACACACGUGCGAUGCCCCCCCGUACGUCCGCCGAAUAGGAAUAAUCAUGUCCAUGUGGAUGUGGUUCCUUUCGCUCCUGCGGUAGUCCUGCAUGCCAAGCGAUCACAUUCACAGAAACAGAAAUGGGUCAAUGGGUGUACAGAGGAAUACGAGUAUCAUCACUUGAAAGCAAAUUUUUUUUCUGGGAAACGUGAACUUUCAUUUCUCCGUUCCAAACACCACGUGGAUGUCAAUCAAUAAAACAUAUAGAUAGGGUUUGUAGGGACAUGCAGUAAUUUUGUUUGUAUUUGAUAAAUAUUAUUCAAUCAUGGACUAAUUAUGUUCGAAAGAUUCAUCUUACAAAUUAUAAUUAAACUGUACAAUUAGUGCCACAAGAUUUAAUAUGACGAGAAACUUUAAAAAAUUUGUAAUUUUUUUAGGAAGUAAGGGGGUGUUUGGUUAGGGUUGUUAAAGUUUAACAACUGUAGCAUUUUUGUUUUAUUUGGCAAUUAGUGUCUAAUCAUGGACUAAUUAGGCUCAAAAGAUUCGUCUCGCAAAUUACUUCUAGCCA